UGUGCGCGCAAAGUCCACCAAGAAGUGAGUCCUCUGAGAUUGGAAAGUCAGUCCCUCGUGUGACCAGAGACCUUAUCCAGAGGAGUUCCAGUGGUGAAAACAGAGGAAGACGCCUGCGUGCAGGUGCUGGACCGCUCCUCCCAUCUUCUGGGGUGUAUUGUAAAGGAACUAUCGCUUUUGAACCUUUCAGACUGGAAAUCCACCAUAUCAAUGGUGGCAGGCAAGUCAAAAUACAAUGUAGAUCCCGUAUCAACCAGAAUGUCAAA